GACGAACGCUGGCGGCGUGCUUAACACAUGCAAGUCGAACGAAGUGGCGAACGGGUGAGUAACGCGUAAUCAACCUGCCCGUCAGAGGGGGACAACAGAUGGAAACGACUGCUAAUACCGCAUAAUGAAGGAGGGGAUUGCGUCUGAUUAGCUAGUUGGAGGGGUAACGGCCCACCAAGGCGAUGAUCAGUAGCCGGUCUGAGAGUAUGAACGGCCACAGUGGGCCUGAGACACGGCCCAGACUCCUACGGGAGGCCGCAGUGGGGAAUCUUCCGCAAUGGACGAAAGUCUGACGAAGCAACGCCGCGGGAGUGAUGACGGCCUUCGGGUUGUAAAGCUCUGUUAAUCGGGACGCGGUACCGGAAUAGAAAGCCACGGCUAACUACGUGCCAGCCGCCGCGGUAAUUC
rnacentral:rRNA from 1 species